rnacentral:rRNA from 1 species
GACGAACGCUGGCGGCGUGCUUAACACAUGCAAGUCGAACGGAAAGGCCCUGCUUUUGCUGGGUGCACCAGUGGCGAACGGGUGCGUAACACGUGAGUAACCUGCGCUUGCCUUUGGGAUAACUUCAGAAAACUGGUGCUAAUAAUGGAUAGGAGCUCCUACUGCAUGUUGGGGGUUGGAAAGUUUCGGAGGUUGGGGAUGGAGUCGCGGCCUAUCAGCUCGUAGGUGGGGUAGUUUCUUACUAAGGCAUCGACGAGUCGCCGGACUGAGACGGUGACCGGCCACAGUGGGACAGGGGUACGGGCCGUACGCAUACUGGGGGCAUCAGUGGGGGAUAGUGCACGAUGGGCGGAAGGAGGAUGCAAGAACGCCGCGUGCUAGAUGACGGCCGUAGGAGUGGAAAGCGCUUUCGCCUGGGACGAAGAGAGAGUGACGGUAAUGUGUAAAGAAGCACCGGCUAACUACGUG